rnacentral:rRNA from 1 species
UACGUAGGGUGCAAGCGUUGUCCGGAAUUAUUGGGCGUAAAGAGCUCGUAGGCGGUUUGUCGCGUCUGCUGUGAAAACUCGGGGCUAACCCCGGCUGCAGUGGGUACGGGCAGACUAGAGUGCGGUAGGGGAGACUGGAAUUCCUGGUGUAGCGGUGAAAUGCGCAGAUAUCAGGAGGAACACCGGUGGCGAAGGCGGGUCUCUGGGCCGAUACUGACGCUGAGGAGCGAAAGCGUGGGGAGCGAAC